UACGAAGGGGGCUAGCGUUGCUCGGAAUCACUGGGCGUAAAGGGUGCGUAGGCGGGUCUUUAAGUCAGGGGUGAAAUCCUGGAGCUCAACUCCAGAACUGCCUUUGAUACUGAAGAUCUUUGAGUCCGGGGAGAGGUGAGUGGAACUGCGAGUGUAGAGGUGAAAUUCGUAGAUAUUCGCAAGAACACCAGUGGCGAAGGCGGCUCACUGGCCCGGUACUGACGCUGAGGCACGAAAGCGUGGGGAGCAAACAGG
rnacentral:rRNA from 1 species